rnacentral:lncRNA from 1 species
ACUGUUCUUUACGAUAGAAGGCAUUACAUACACAAGAGGCUGUUGACUCUGGAUGUACCAGACAAAAGCAAACCUAAAACAUUUCCUUUUCCAUCAGUACAAGAAGAAAUGACGGUAUUAUAAGUAAUAAUCAGUCUUCAUUAUGCCGAACUAGCAAAAAAGAUACCAAGAUUUUUUUUUUUCUGCUAUGAAAAGAUGAUCCCCAAGGUCCUCUUCAUUUGCAGGCUUCACUUCUUUCUCUCACCAAGGGGCAGGGGAGUAGCAGUCCAUCAAAUUAGUUAAUUGCAAUGAAUCCUUGGUAAUAGGACUUCUUACCUUGGGCAAUUCUUUUAUGUCUCACCAUGUUAAUGAAGUUCCUAGACUUAAACCAAAGCCCAGAUGGUUUGAUUUGUAAUGUCAGGACUAGGAGAGAGAGAUUUUUGUCCUUAUGGCAAGCAAUUUAUCUCAGAAGGCAAGACAGCAUAAAACCUGCCUGAUCUUUUCACAAUGAUUUUUACAGACUCUAUUGUAUUAAAAUGUAUUGACUAAUGAUGGUAAAACUCUACAAGAUAGAAUCCCUAAUAGAGCCCAUGGUGUUUAAGAAAUGUACAAUACUGCUUUUGGUAAGCCUUUCCCAGAGAAAUGUGUAAAUUCCGUUCCCAAGGGGAAAACCAGAAUUAUUAAUUCAGAGGUUUCCAUUCCUCACACGGUUUUUCCUUUUGCUCCAUAUCACACUUGACUUCCAUAUUCAUUAUUUUUCUAUUGCUGUGAUGAAUGCUUUGACCAAAGCAACACAUAGAAGAAAGAGUUUAUGGUUCCAGAGGCUUAGGCUUCAUCACAAUGUCAGGGACAGAAGGGGGCAGACAUAGUGACUGGAGCUGAAGCUAAGAACUCACAACUCAAACUGUGAGCAGGAACAGAGAAUGCACUGGAAAUGUCCAGUGGCUUUUGAAGCUUCAGAGCCCACCCCAGUAAUACACUUCCAGCACCAAGAUCACAUCUUUUAGAUCUACACAAGCAGUAUCCCAAUCGGGGACCAAAUAUUCAGAUGCCCAAAACAUCUCAUUCACACCACAAACUUUCAAAUUAAUUUGGAUAAGCAGUUAAAUUGGUUCUAAAUAAAGUUUUAGGGUCCAACUUGACAAACAGGCUUUUCUCAAAAUAAGCACUGAAGAUUUUUACUUUGUUUAAUAUACUUUCCACAUGAGUAGAUGCAAAUUCUAGUCAGAGGAAUUGCUAUCACUAUCCCAAAUUUUAGGUUAGAAGUCUAAUUAUAAUAAUAAUAUUUUAGAGGAAAAAAUGACGUUCAUUAUUGUCCUCUAGCUUCUUAACUUUUAACUUCAAAAAAAAUGUGACUGUUUUGUUAUUUGACAGUGAAUUUACAUUAUUGCUUCUUAUCUAAGAAAAAUUAUUAUCUUAAUUUUUUUAAUUAAACUGGAACCUCUCACCUU